GGUUCUGUCGACAAGGACAGCUCCCAUAAACGUAAGCGUACGGCCAACCAGACGAACCAAGAAGAGUUUGUGGCAAGAGGAGAGAAAGAGCAAGGAUUAAUAUCCUCGCUUUGAUUGCAUUUUAUAGUUGGAGAGAGCUUCGCGACAAGCUUCAGCUAGAAAGAGAUGCCGAUCUCGCUUGUGUUUUACUCGACUGAACAUCUCCACGAGUCACUGACAGCUCAAGUGACCAUCUGGGAUUCUCAGCACUGUUCUCACUUUCCUGAAUCCUAUCAGGAACAAAAAAAGGAACUUAGAUUUACCAAGAACCUGGAUCAAAUCUCCAAAUUCUGACAGAGCGCUGGCUGAAGAAUCUUGAGUUUCUCAGCUGUUAAAUCACAGUACAUGAGGUUCAGGUAUCUGAUGUUUGGACAGCACUGAAGACAGUACAGCAGCACCCAGC